rnacentral:rRNA from 1 species
UGGGGAAUAUUGCACAAUGGGGAACCGUAGCAUGCAGCCAUGCCGCCGUGUAUGAAUGAAGGCAGCUUAGGGUUGUAAAGUACUUUCGGUGAUGAGGAAGGUACUUGGUCUAAUAGGCCAAGUAAUUGACGUUAAUUACAGAAGAAGCACCGGCUAACUCCGUGCCAGCAGCCGCGGUAAUACGGAGGGUGCGAGCGUUAAUCGGAAUGACUGGGCGUAAAGGGCAUGUAGGCGGAUGAUUAAGUUAGGUGUGAAAUCCCCGACGCUCAACUUGGGAAUUGCAUUUAAAACUGGUCGUCUAGAGUAUUGUAGAGGAAGGUAGAAUUCCACGUGUAGCGGUGAAAUGCGUUAGAGAUGUGGAGGAAUACCGGUGGCGAAGGCGGCCUUCUGGACAGAUACUGACGCUGAGAUGCGAAAGCGUGGGGAGCAAACA